UACGUAGGGUGCGAGCGUUGUCCGGAAUUAUUGGGCGUAAAGGGCGCGUAGGCGGGAUGGCAAGUCGGUCGUGAAAUCCCUCGGCUCAACCGAGGAACGUCGAUCGAUACUGCUGUUCUUGAGGAUUGCAGAGGAGACUGGAAUUCCCGGUGUAGCGGUGAAAUGUGUAGAGAUCGGGAGGAACACCGGUGGCGAAGGCAGGUCUCUGGGCCACUACUGACGCUGAGAAGCGAAAGCAUGGGGAGCGAACAGG
rnacentral:rRNA from 1 species